AUGGGAGAGGCCUUGUGGUGUUUUUUCCUGAGUUUAGGAGGACAGUUUCUCCAUCUCCCACUUCAAUCAUCAAAGGAAGCCUGAGAAGCCCCUGCUCCAAAAAGUUCGUGUCUCCUUCCUUCUUUGUGGGAAGAAGCUACCUCCCGAAAUGAAUGAGUCUGAGUUAGAAGAAUGAAGCAAACAAACACCAAAACUCUUGGAAAAUACAAUGUGUCUAAACUGAUGGAGCCUUCUGCAAGGUAGAGGUGGCGCAGUGCAGUCUAGCAGAUAGCCCAAAUAGGCAACAUCUCAGCAUUGUGGUGAGAAUAUGCCCUCAGUUAUCUGAAGAACCUCCUCAGCAAUAAAAAUCAGCUCAGAAAGAGGAGUAAGGAAAGAGUCACCCAUUUAAAGAGCAUCAUUUCCAGGCUGAAGAACAUCCCACAAGAAAAACAGACAGUAAUCAGUAACAGAGGCAAAGAAUGAUGGAGAGACUGCAUCCCAUGACAGCGUCUGAACCACAGGAGUCAUCAUCCUUUCACAGCUACCCCAUGUAUAACGUAUCAGCUGAUUGCUAUAUCUGGUCUUAGAAAAAGAGAUGCUUCAUUGGAAAUGCCCAACCAACAAACAGACAAGGAAAGGAAAUGGAAAUAUUGCAUCUAGGCUCUUGCAUUUUGAAGUUUUGAAAAUAGAUUUUAUUUCAUUUUAUUUUUAGGCCAUUAAUUGGUUCUUCCAAUCUGUCAGUCCCACAAAGACACAGCUCUCCAGGCACACACCCAGCUAGCAAACCUGCAGCUGCAGAAGGUCCCUCCAUACGCUAUAUGCAAAUCCUUCUGGAAGCUGGGAAUCAUUUGACUUAUGAGGUUCCUGUCUCCUAUACCCAAGUCAUUCAUCUAAUUUACAUGCCUUCAGCUGCUUGUUUGUUUGCUUAGCAUGCUAAGUAAAAUUUUUUUAGAGAGAGUCACCAUUUAUAUAUGCUCUUUACAGGAUGUGUUCAUGUGUUACACAAAGACUACUUCUCUGUUUACCUAUUGCUGACUCCCUGGAGAAGACUGUGGCAAAGUCUCCUGUGCACCAAGACUUAUUUCCAUGCUGAAUGCAACUAUGCGACCUGGUGAAGAUAAGAUAUAAUUCAGACUGGCCAAAAGUAAAUGACUGCUUCACAAGCUGUUCUGGGAACUGAUCAAUGUGCAAAUGUCAUAUCUUGCAGAGCUGAUUGAUCAAGUGACAAAGAGAAGAACAAGGGAGGCUUUCAUCCCUCUGCUUUCACAGGUCACUAUUUCAGCCUGUAUCCCCAGCUCUUCCUGUUUACACCUGCAGAUAACUCCUGGCUGACAAGAGAGGGGCAAAAGGCUUUUCCUGAGGAAAAGUGACUCCACAUGUUUGACUGUAGCACACUGAGAAGGAAAAAUAUGUUAUUCACUCACUUUCCCUUGAGAUCCAGAAUGCAGAAAUGGGUGGUUCGUAUCGUUCUCUCUGACUACUGAGUAGUAUCUCCAUCAGAAUGUAGUCCACAGGGUAAAUGUUAUUUUUCACAAUGUAUUUUGGAAAGCUGUUUGUAAACACUACAGUGAGUUCAAUAACACUCACAUUGAGGACAGUGAGAACUGGAAGAAAGAGACCUACAACUUGCAAAAGCCUAGAGGAAAAGGUAAGAGUUGUGUAAAAGAAAAAAGCAAGAAUGAGUAAGGAUCUCUAUUUGCCCUUCAGCUAUCCUCUCUCUUUUUUUUUUCUAUUAAAGCUUUGAGAAAAAGAAUGACAACAGUUCAUCUAUUUUAUUAACAUUUUUUCUUCCCUGGAGAAUUAGAUGGGUGCAGACAGCAAGGAAGGAGAGAAUUAUUUUAGGCUAAUAUCUUGGGUAUUAAUUAUAUACCUAGGGUAUAAUUAGGGUAUAGCUAAGAAUCCUGGGAUAAUUAUAGGAAAUAGAAAACUGAGGCUGAAUAUUUGAAAAAAAAAAAAUUUCUGUCUGUACUGAGCUGUAGAAUAGUUGCCCAAGAGAAACGUUCAUUGUUUUGCAUAUGUAAAAAGUGAUGGGCUACAAAUUGGGAAAUAUAUCUUAUAAAUGACCUUGUUUUCAAGACAUGCUUCUCGUGUUAAGUUCCAGAUGAUCCAUAUCUGUUGGUGUCCUCUGGUUUUCACUUAUGACUAGUUUAUAUCAGAAAUAAGAGAUAAUGUAACUGAUGUUAAAGAGCUGUUCAUGGGCCUGAAAUACUGCAUCAUUUGCUUUUCCAUGCAUCCCUUCUGCUCUCAUUACCAUCUCAAUGAUAAUUGCUCAACUCUUUUCCACAUGUAGUAUCCAACCUGUUGUUUAGGGAAAAUAUGAGCUCCACUGUGAACUACAUCACAAGCAGCAACCUUUCCACAGAAGGAAAAUGAGCAAGAUGCAGAAACAAGUCUCCCCUAACUCUAACCUUGGGGAUUAUCUGAAAAUUAUAAAUUUAAGGAGGAACAGGAGGAAAAAAGGAAUGAGUCCUUACUGCUAACAUAAGAAGACCAGACAGAAUGAAGUUGCCAUUCAUUUGGCUGUGAAAGCUGGGUUACUGCAUGUCAUCUAUUGUCUUUCUCACCAAGCAGCAUGGACAUAAGCACAAACUCUUCCAACUACACAAGCUACAGAAAGAACUUUAAGAUGCACUACUAUGACAGCUUGUGUAAGUGCUUUGACACCUCUUUUUCUGAAUAGUAAGUGGAGAGAUCAACCCACCAGUAAACUUUGCAAUCUACUGAUCUGUCUGAGCAUCUCUGAGGGCUACCCAACAUCAUCUACACACAUCCUUUAAAGGCUUUAAGGAGCUUGCAGGCUUCAGUCUGGCCCAGAGUGAGAACACAGGUAUCCAGGUGAAGCACAGGUAAAAGCAUUACUGGAAAUGUCCUUAUUCAAAGAACUGUGGGGCUUUGGACUGAUCCACUAGUGUUGUCCAAGUCUGGAUUAUUAAUGAACCUUCUCUUCUUGUUGUAACUGCUAGUGCCUGCUGGUAGCUUAAUCGUAGCUUCUUGAGGGCAGAGAAAAGGGAAGACUGAAAAUUACUACUAGUAUUUUGAACUGCAGGAGAAUAUCUUUGCUUUUCCCUUGUUCUUUGAAGGAAGAUAAUUGCUGUCAUCUUUCUGGGAGAGAGUGCCCUUACAACUGAAUGUCAAGA